rnacentral:lncRNA from 10 species
CUCUUGCGUUCCUGUGUGAUGGGGCCGGAGCCAGUAAACAGGCUUCCUUCUCGCUCUGCUGUAUAAGAAGAAGAAGUAGGAGAAACAAAAUAAGGAGGAGAAGAAGUAAAAUAAUUUGAGAAGGAAUAUGAAGGUGAAACAUGAAGAUGAUGGUGGACAGGUGAGCUACGCAGUUCGUGGAAGAACCAGGGGUCACAUGGCCUAGAUGCUACCCUAGAUGAGAAAGAGUCCAAUGGUUAUCAACAAGUUCUGAAAGGCAAGGCCUAAGGUACUGAAAAUUAUAUUACUCAAAGCUGAAGGCAGCAAAUCUGUUCAUGUUUACACAGUUGGGAAAGUGGACUUGUGUUUUUUACAAGCAAACCAGUGACCAGCCAAUGGCAGGAGACCUUCCCCACCCCUAAAGGUGAUGCUCACCUACCGUCAUGGGUAAAAGGAAGCUCUGGCUCGAAUUCCUCAUGUAUUAUUCAUGUGUGAUGCCACCCAACGUGAUUCAGAGAAGAAAAUUCUCAGUGUGUUCACCAGAGGUGAUUACAUGAGAAUAAAGCACGGCCUGAUUUUUUUUCUUGUUCACAGGAAAAAAAAAA